CAGUCGCCGCGGUAAUACGUAGGUGGCAAGCGUUGUCCGGAAUUAUUGGGCGUAAAGCGCGCGCAGGCGGAUAGGUCAGUCUGUCUUAAAAGUUCGGGGCUUAACCCCGUGAUGGGAUGGAAACUGCCAAUCUAGAGUAUCGGAGAGGAAAGUGGAAUUCCUAGUGUAGCGGUGGAAUGCGUAGAUAUUAGGAAGAACACCAGUGGCGAAGGCGACUUUCUGGACGAAAACUGACGCUGAGGAGCGAAAGCGUGGGGAGCGAACAGGAUUAGAUACCCGUGUAGUCCCUGUCUCUUAUACA
rnacentral:rRNA from 1 species